AGCAGAGAGGAGCCGAGCGAGGAGCGAGACACGAGCCAGGAUGAGGGGAGAGAUGACGUGAAAGUUGAAGAAGAGAGGAGGAAAAACAAGAGGAGGAGAAGAGCUCGUGGCACGGCUGGGAAGUGAUGUGUUCAUCACCUUUUUGCUAUGCACAAGAAAUCCCAAAGCUGCGACACCCUUGGAACCAGCAUGCACUCAGAAGCGCAGUCAAGUAGAAAAACAUUUGCUUCCACACAGAGACUGCAUCCGACUUCAAACUUUGUCCCCGAAGUUCAACCUAAGAGCCAAGAGCAGCAAACACAAAUCACAUCACCUCUGCCUGCACCGCCAUCUCUUGGAAUGGAAACAGCACUGGAAACCUGCUGACAGAAUCUCACUGCACUGUGCAAAGGGAAAAGGAGCCACUUCUGGAGCAGCUCAUUUGGGCAUAAAGCCUGGAGAGGUUGAGCCAGAAUGUCUUCUGAAGGCUUUCUGAAGGAAAUGCAAACCAUUGGUGAGAAGUUUCUUCUUAAGCUUCAGAAACUGCCCAAGGCUGACCCUGUGGAGAUCGUGUCCUUCUGUGUGGUGCUUCUGUUUAUCGUUACUGUUCUGCUGCUCAUGAUCAUUGCUUGCAGCUGCUGCUGCUACAGCUGCUGUAGCUGCGAUGGACGUCCUGACCACAGACGUAGGAAGAUCCAAGUCCGCCCGACUGCCCACCCAUGAAGCGCUUCAAGAGGUGACAACCUACUAUCAAGGACAUGCAUGGCCAUCAUGAUUCAGUCCCACGGGAAUGACUCUCUGCUCUAGCUCACUGAAAAUGGCAAUAACAAUAUUAAUGAGUUUGACUCAGAGGACCAGAAAUCACGGCAUGGAAUUCAUUCUUUCUGUGACAGCUACUGCUGGGCUCCGUGGUGUGACCAGAAAGCAGGGCAGAAGCCAGCAUGUCAUCUGCACAAGAGACAUCCUCAGUUCUGGAAGACCUAAAAAGACGGAUUGUAACAAGUGACUGGGCUCUUGGAGGGCUAGUGGUGAUUAGCACCUUCUGUCUUGUUUUGAUUGCUCUCCUGUUAUUUGCUGCCAUCUUUGGGUGCUGCUCAUCUCCAAGGCACAAGCGGAGUGGUGCAUAGACAGUGAAGCUGUGACACAGUACUGGGAGAUCCGCAGUUAAGCAAGAAUCAGCCCAGCUGCAAUCUAACUGUGUUGUUCGUAGAAGCUUUUUCAUCUUCUGUCCCUGGGUUGUUAUUUCUCCCCAUCCAGCCUUCCCGCGUUGAGAGCAAUAUAUGAAUGCCAGCAAAUUGUUCUGCAAGUCCACAGCAAACUCUGUAUGUAAGGCAGCCUGUGUUCAGGAACUGAAUGAUGAUGCUGGCAUUUGGCUUGUCUCUGCCUGAUUUUCAUCUUUCAAACAAAAUCACAGACAGGAUGGAGUUGGCAAACGGUCAACCACCGCCUAAAACUGAUAAAGAUGUCUUGUACCAGUGCAGUUACUUUUUUUGUUUAGCUGGUCUUGUUUUUUUCCAUCUUGCAAAUGGAGAUCAGGGAACUCUGACCAGCAAAAGCUUUGUCUGAAUCCAUUCUCUAAAAAGCAGCUUAUGUAAUUGUUCUCCUGUCAUACUCAGACAGUAGCCUAAAUAUACUAUGCAAAAACUUGCUUAUCGGAAUACAAGUCUGUCUGUAUUUGUUCUCAUUUAGAACCUUGUAAGGUCAGAAUUUCAGGUUUAUUUUUACUGUUUGAAUAGCAAAUAGAACUGUAUUAAUUCAAAAUGUAAAAAAGAAAUGCAAUGCAGUAUUCUUCUGAAGAGCACCUUAGUCUCCUGCACAGUUGCAAGCGGGGAAGCCAGUCAAUGGUGCUGCAAUGUGGGACCUUGGGUUGUGCAUCUUAUGUGUGUAUGUAUUAAGCUGGGGAAGGGAAGAAUAAAGAUGGGAGAUGUGAUUUCUCAUUAGGUCAGUGGGCUUCCCUUACAAAUCUCUCAUGCAGCCAGUGAAGUUCUAUUUCUAUUGCUAUUCACCUCAGCAAAGGAGAAUGUUUUCUCUCUAUCGCGUGGAUAUUGCCUCACUACUGCAGCAGAACUCUUCAGAGAAGUUCCUCACUUAAAAAGCAGUCAAGUUCUUUACAGCAUACAUGAAGUGGGUGAUGCUGUAAUAUGGUGACGUGGAUCCUACCUCACGCCCUGACUAGGAGACCACGCUGGAAUGUUCUGCGACUGCUUUUGGCUUGUGCAAGGUUAGUUCAGUGAGUCCAGUACA